AUUGAACGCUGGCGGAAUGCUUUACACAUGCAAGUCGAACGGCAGCACGGGUGCUUGCACCUGGUGGCGAGUGGCGAACGGGUGAGUAAUGCACCGGAACGUAUCCAAUAAUGGGGGAUAACGCACCGAAAGGUGUGCUAAUACCGCAUACGCCCUGAGGGGGAAAGCGGGGGAUCGUAAGACCUCGCGUUAGUGGAGCGGCCGAUGCCGGAUUAGCUAGUUGGUGAGGUAAAGGCUCACCAAGGCGACGAUCCGUAGCUGGUCUGAGAGGACGACCAGCCACACUGGAACUGAGACACGGUCCAGACUCCUACGGGAGCAGCAGUGGGGAAUUUUGGGACAAUGGGCGCAAGCCUGAUCCAGCCAUUCCGCGUGAGUGAAGAA
rnacentral:rRNA from 1 species